rnacentral:rRNA from 1 species
GAUGAACGCUGGCGGCGUGCCUAAUACAUGCAAGUCGAGCGAACGGACGAGAAGCUUGCUUCUCUGAUGUUAGCGGCGGACGGGUGAGUAACACGUGGAUACCCUACCUAUCAGACUGGGAUAACUUCGGGAAACCGUAGCUAAUACCGGACAAUAUUUUGAACCGCAUGGUUCAAAAGUGAAAGACGGUCUUGCUGUCACUUAUAGAUGUAUCCGCGCUGCAUUAGCUAGUUGGUAAGGUAACGGCUUACCAAGGCAACGAUGCAUAGCCGACCUGAGAGGGUGAUCGGCCACACUGGAACUGAGACACGGUCCAGACUCCUACGGGAGGCAGCAGUAGGGAAUCUUCCGCAAUGGGCGAAAGCCUGACGGAGCAACGCCGCGUGAGUGAUGAAGGUCUUCGGAUCGUAAAACUCUGUUAUUAGGGAAGAACAUAUGUGUAAGUAACUGUGCACAUCUUGACGGUACCUAAUCAGAAAGCCACGGCUAACUACGUG